UACAGGGGGUGCAAACGUUGCUCGGAAUCAUUGGGCGUAAAGCGCACGUAGGCGGUUCGUUAUGUCGGAUGUGAAAGCCCUUGGCUUAACCCGAGGAAGUGCAUCCGAAACUGGCGAGCUAGAGUACUAAAGAGGAUCGGCGGAAUUCCCGGUGUAGAGGUGAAAAUUCGUAGAUAUCGGGAGGAACACCGGUGGCGAAGGCGGCGAUCUGGGUAGAUACUGACGCUGAGGUGCGAAAGCGUGGGGAGCAAACAGGG
rnacentral:rRNA from 1 species